ACCAGCCCCUUCCUGAAAUCAUCCAGCAGCCACCAGGAGUCGCCUUGUUAGAACCAGAGAUGCUCCUAUCCCCCCCCAGGAUAUCCUAAGGGGUUUAGGAGCUUGGGCUCAGAAGCUCCUAUUACUCAGAAAAUGACUGAAGUUUUAGAAGCUCCAUGUCAGGAAACCUUGACCGGACCAACUUGCAUAUUUCUUAUUUCACAGCAGUAGAGGUCUGCAGAGAUCGUGGGUUCUACAGACAGGUUACAGGGUUCUGAAUGCUCCCCUCAAGGAAUUCAAAAUUUUUUUUAAAUCAACAUGAUGGAAGUAUGAUUAAUAUACAAUAACUUGAAGGCAUUUACAAAGUAAAGUUCAAUGAGUUUUGACUUGUGUAUUUGACUUAGUUACUUUCUCAUCACCAGGACCCAAUACCUGAUGCCCAAAAGAAACUCAUGGAAGACACGUGAGAAAAUGGCAGUCUUCGCACCAGGAAGGAGUGAUCAGCAGGAACUCAACUGGCCAGCUCCUUGAUUGCAACCUUCCAGCCUCCAGGACCAUGAUAAAAUAAAUCUCUGUCAU